rnacentral:tRNA from 1 species
GGGGAUGUAGCUCAGUGGUAGAGCAUUUGCCUGACAUGUGUGAGAUCCUAGGUUUGAUCCCCAGUAUUACAA